UACUCUGUAAAGUUGUGGGAGGAAUUACCUAAUUUAUGUAAAAAGCACAGCAGAGUGGCCUCUAGUGUGUGUCUAAUUGCUAUUUCUCUUUUCCCUUGAGUCUUCCACAAAUUAUAACAGUUUAUAUUUAAGUGUCUUCUACUCUAUGACAGGCUCAAUUCUAAGUGUUUUACAUGGAUCGACUAAUUUAAUCUACAUAAAAACUCUACAGGACAGAAGUGAUAAACAUCACUGUGUUACAGAUGAGAAAACUUAACAUAGUGGCUUAUGCAACUCGCCUAAGGUCAUAUAAGAGGAAAGCAGCAGAAUCCAGACCUGACCCCAGCAGUGUUGUCCAAUUUCAGAGGCAGUAAAACAGUCAUUGACUAUCUUUACCGUGAUCCCAUGGUAAGAUACACAUUUUACAUCAUAAGUAUGUGUAGGCAUAUGGCGGUAUCUAAAGUAUAAAUAUGUUUCACAAAAUAAUACCCUUACUAUCUGUGUGCAUUCUGAUAGUUUCUCCUCAUUUUAAUUUUGAAAAAUGUUUGACCAACUUACUGAUUUAAUGAUCUAUUGAUGAGUCAAAACUGCACUUUGAAAAACUGCUUGUCUAAAUUACAAUUUAUCCAACUGUUCUGACCCUUCAGCUACCUCAACCUCUACCAGAAAAACUGAUGGCUCUCAGUUCAGAUAUUCAUAUUUCAUGUAUAUUCCAGAUGAAGUCCUUAUUAAUUAUUAAGAUACUGAUCACCCACCCUGACUCAGACCUACUCCCCAUUGCAAACUCUUUUGCAUUUAUGGAAAAAUAUCUCAUCAGGGAGUCCAGCCAUCUCUAAGUUCAGUCCGUUCCAUCUGGCUACUCACUGGAAGGACGGUAAUCCUUUCCCCAUCAGAGCAUAGCUGAGGCUAAAAUAUAAUGAAUUGCCUGGUACAGUGACCAUCCAAGGGCACCACCAAGAAGUAUAAAGACCUCUGUCUUUGUCUCUACUAGCAGAUGUUGCCUCAUUAGACAAAAAAUCAUGGGCUUUAUUUAUCUUUAUGUAUGUUGCUCAACCAAACGAAGCCAGAAUAUAAAUUAUGUAUAUGAGUGUGCUCAUGUACUCACAGGAUGAAUAAAGAUUCAAACCCACGACCAGUCACUCUUUGGAACAAC